UACGUAGGGUGCAAGCGUUGUCCGGAAUUAUUGGGCGUAAAGAGCUCGUAGGCGGUCUGUCGCGUCGGAUGUGAAAAUCCAGGGCUCAACCCUGGACCUGCAUUCGAUACGGGCAGACUAGAGUUCGGUAGGGGAGACGUGGAAUUCCUGGUGUAGCGGUGAAAUGCGUAGAUAUCGUUUGGAACGCCAAUGGUGAAAACAGGUUGCUGGGGGUGUGCUGACGCUGAGACACGAAAGCCAGGGGAGCAAACGGG
rnacentral:rRNA from 1 species